rnacentral:RNase_P_RNA from 1 species
CAUGCCCACCAGACAAUCGCUGGCAUCGGCAACGAUGCGGGAGGAAAGUCCGGACUCCACAGAGCACGAUAGCGGCUAACAGCCGUCCGCUGAAAUCCGCAAGGUAUAAGGCGAGGAAUAGGGCCACAGAGACGAGCGUAUUAAGUUACGGUGAAACGCGGUAACCUCUAUUGGGAGCAACAUCAAAUAGGCACGCAUUGAGGCGGCUCGCUGAGCGUGCGGGUAGAUGGCUAAAGCGACGCGGUAACGCGACGCGUAGAGGAAUGAUUGUCGGUGUUGAUCGCAAGGUCAACAUUUACAGAAUCCGGCUUAUCGGUGGGCAUGGACU